CCUACGGGAGGCAGCAGUGAGGAAUAUUGGUCAAUGGACGAGAGUCUGAACCAGCCAAGUAGCGUGAAGGAUGACUGCCCUAUGGGUUGUAAACUUCUUUUAUAUGGGAAUAAAAUGUUCCACGUGUGGGAUUUUGUCUGUACCAUAUGAAUAAGGAUCGGCUAACUCCGUGCCAGCAGCCGCGGUAAUACGGAGGAUCCGAGCGUUAUCCGGAUUUAUUGGGUUUAAAGGGAGCGUAGGUGGAUUGUUAAGUCAGUUGUGAAAGUUUGCGGCUCAACCGUAAAAUUGCAGUUGAAACUGGCAGUCUUGAGUACAGUAGAGGUGGGCGGAAUUCGUGGUGUAGCGGUGAAAUGCUUAGAUAUCACGAAGAACUCCGAUUGCGAAGGCAGUUCACUGGACUGCAACUGACACUGAGGCUCGAAAGUGUGGGUAUCAAACAGGAUUAGAUACCCCUGUAGUC
rnacentral:rRNA from 1 species